rnacentral:rRNA from 1 species
UACGUAGGGUCCGAGCGUUGUCCGGAGUACUGGGCGUAAAGCGCGCGCAGGCGGCGGUGUAAGCAUGGCGUGAAAGCCCCAGGCUCAACCUGGGAGGGUCGUCGUGGACUGCACCGCUUGAGGGCGGUAGGGGCUGGUGGAAUGCCUGGUGUAGUGGUGAAAUGCGUAGAGGAUCGGCAGGAACACCCAGGGAGAAAUCAGCCGCCUGGGCAAGUGCUGACGCUGAGGUGCGAAAGCGUGGGGAGCGAACAGG